GUAAUCUGGUUUCAACUUGCCCUUCUUACACUGACAGAUGGUGCUUCGGCACAGCAGAUGAUUACCUGUGUCAGCCUUCCUAUUUAGCCUGGCAUGAAUAUAUUAAACACCAGCUCUUGAAAAAGCUCAGCUCCUGGGUUAAAAGUGCCUUUGACAUUUACUUUCUCCCAGGAGCUUGGAGAGCCAGAAUAAUAGUGCCAGACAAAUAACUGACAGGUAUUCACCACAUCAUCAGCUGAGUCAUUCUGUGUUGUGACUCCUUCUGACCUCAUAAGUAAGUGAGACUGAGUAUCAGCUGAAGAGAAACUUCUAGCAAACACCUUGAACACUCCCAGAGUGGCACAAUUUAGUACAUUCCUGUUGUUAGCAGACCACUCUGUAACUGUGCUUUGAAGAUCAAUGCUCCUGAGCUACCCAGGAAGUAUAAAAUGAGGUUUAUAUGGAGCUUGUCUGCAGAUAGACACAGUUGAAGCUGGAGUUAUCAGCUCACCCGCAGCACCACCCACCUCAACAAACACCAUCACAAGCAGAACAUGUCGCCCUCUGAGGCUUCUCCUUCUGGAAAGACAGCCUGGAAUAGAAAACAGCUCUCACUGUACACAAAAGGGACAAAAGAAAGUGAUCUGGGAAAGAGGAGGAAAAGGAGAAACGAAGGAGCCAUGAGGUGUAUAUUCAAGGAAGACCUGUCUUUCUUUCCCACCCAAAGCCUGAUCUUGCUGAUUAUGUUUCUGAAAGAAGUCAGGAGGGAUAACCCAGCACUAGGCUGAGAGCAGUGGUCCCCAGCCAGCUGACAGCUCAUGACUGGAAUGUCCCUUGGAAGGUGACCCAGCCAGCACAAGUUUAGAGCCUCAGAAAGCCAACACAAGACUAGAAGGAGCCAAACAGCCUAUGCCCAAAGCAUAUCUGGCCCCCACAUCUACUUGUUCCCUUGACAGCUUUUCCUUUGGACUGGAUUUUUUUGGGAUCCUCCCUUGUGGAGAGCCCUGCUUAUCUCAGUUCUUCUGAUUAGAAGAAAACUCCCAAGCUCAUUAAAAUCUUGUUUCUCAUGUUUAUUAACAGGUGAUCUCCAAACUUAACAGGUCUCUCCAGGCUGGCUACACAAGGUUAA